GAUGAACGCUGGCGGCGUGCCUAACACAUGCAAGUCGAACGAAGCAUAGAAGACGGAGAUUCGUCAAAGCCUUCUAUGACUUAGUGGCGGACGGGUGAGUAAUGUAUGAGCAACCUGCCUUUCAGAGGGGGACAACAGUUGGAAACGACUGCUAAUACCGCAUAAUGUAUCGGGAGGACAUCCUCCUGAUACCAAAGAUUUAUCGCUAAGGGAUGGGGAUGCGUCUGAUUAGCUUGUCGGCGGGGUAACGGCCCACCGAGGCGACGAUCAGUAGGGGUUCUGAGAGGAAGGUCCCCCACAUUGGUACUGAGACACGGACCAAACUCC
rnacentral:rRNA from 1 species